rfam:Candidate division WOR-1 bacterium RIFOXYB2_FTLL_36_35 rifoxyb2_full_scaffold_1362, whole genome shotgun sequence.
GGGCCAAUAGCUCAGUUGGUUAGAGCGUACCCCUGAUAAGGGUAAGGUCGGUGGUUCGACUCCACCUUGGCCCA